rnacentral:rRNA from 1 species
AGUGAACGCUGGCGGCAGGCCUAACACAUGCAAGUCGAACGGCAGCACAAGAGAGCUUGCUCUCUGGGUGGCGAGUGGCGGACGGGUGAGGAAAACGUCGGAAUCUGCCUAUUUGUGGGGGAUAACGUAGGGAAACUUACGCUAAUACCGCAUACGACCUACGGGUGAAAGUGGAGGACCUUCGGGCUUCGCAGAUAGCUGAGCCGACGUCGGAUUAGCUAGUUGGGGGGGUAAAGGCCCACCAAGGCGACGAUCCGUAGCUGGUCUGAAAGGAUGAUCAGCCACACUGGAACUGAGGGACGGUCCAGACUCCUACGGGAGGCAGCAGUGGGGAAUAUUGGACAAUGGGCGCAAGCCUGAUCCAGCCAUGCCGCGUGGGUGAAGAAGGCCUUCGGGUUGUAAAGCCCUUUUGUUGGGAAAGAAAAGCAACCGGUUAAUACCCGGUUGUCAUGACGGUACCCAAAGAAUAAGCACCGGCUAACUUCGUGCCAGCAGCCGCCGUAA